UAACAAUACCUGCCACUCAACAAAUCUGG
rnacentral:sRNA from 1 species